rnacentral:rRNA from 1 species
GGAUGCGAUCAUACCAGCACUAAAGCACCGGAUCCCAUCAGAACUCUGAAGUUAAGCGUGCUUGGGCGAGGGUAGUACUAGGAUGUGUGACCUCCUGGGAAGUCCUCGUGUUGCAUUCC